CUUGAGCAUUAAAAAAAAAAUAAAAUUGUACGAGUAUAAAUAGAUGGUGAAUCGAUUUUUAAAUAAACAGAAACUUAUUAGAAAUCAACUAGUUCACUUCAAAAACUUCUAUUCAAAAUGAAAUUCAUCCUUAUCACAUUUUUGGUAUGCUUUGCCAUCGUUCUCUCAAUGGCUGCAGCUGCUCCAUCCGAAGAAGGAAUUUUCGGUGACUUACCUGACAGUGACAUUGCCAAUCCACAGGAACCAAGCGAAUCACUGAAAUUGUUGCUGUUGAAGAAAUUGAAGCUCAAAUUGUUGAGAGGUUAAACUGAUCAAAGAUUAUUGUUACUAAAUGAAUUAAGUUCACAAGAUUGAUUAUUUUUAAGUUAUUGUUACAAUAAAAGUUAUUUAAGACAA